UCGAGGAUCUUCGGCAAUGGGCGCAAGCCUGACCGAGCGACGCCGCGUGUGCGAUGAAGGCCUUCGGGUUGUAAAGCACUGUCGGGGGGGAGAAAGCCGCAAGGUUGAUCGACCCCCGGAGGAAGCACGGGCUAAGUUCGUGCCAGCAGCCGCGGUAAGACGAACCGUGCGAACGUUGUUCGGAAUCACUGGGCUUAAAGGGCGCGUAGGCGGGCAGUCAAGUCAAGGGUGAAAUCCUGCGGCUCAACCGUAGAAGAGCCCCUGAUACUGGCUGUCUCGAGGGAGGUAGGGGCGUGUGGAACUUCCGGUGGAGCGGUGAAAUGCGUAGAUAUCGGAAGGAACGCCGGUGGCGAAAGCGACGCGCUGGACCUCUUCUGACGCUGAGGCGCGAAAGCCAGGGGAGCAAACGGGAUUAGAUACCCCCGUAGUCC
rnacentral:rRNA from 1 species